CAUUGAGAGAUAUUUUAUAUCACAGAAUGCAGUCUUCUAGGUAUAUAUAUUGUACUUCUGUGGUAUGUCUCUCUCUUAUUUAUCAAUUAUUUCUUCUUUGGAAUAUUAACUUUUUUUAUUAUUAUUAUUUCUUACAGAGCAGCGAAUUGAUGGGGAGACUCUGCUGGGUCUCACAGAAAGGAUGGUGGAAAGACUUUUCUUCCUGGAAACUGACGAGCCUCCGAUAUCUUGUACUCAACAAGAACCCUGUGACUCAUUUGUUGCCCAUCCUUGGCCAGAAGUAUACAACCUGCCUGUCUUUCCCCCUGAAUUGCAAAAUUGU